UACGUAGGUGGCAAGCGUUGUCCGGAUUUAUUGGGUUUAAAGGGUGCGUAGGCGGCCCUGUAAGUCAGUGCUGAAAUAUCCCGGCUUAACCGGGAGGGUGGCAUUGAUACUGCAGGGCUUGAGUGAAGCCGAGGUAGGCGGAAUUGACGGUGUAGCGGUGAAAUGCUUAGAUAUCGUCAAGAACACCGAUAGUGAAGACAGCUUACUAGGCUUAUACUGACGCUGAGGCACGAAAGUGUGGGGAUCAAACAGG
rnacentral:rRNA from 1 species